rnacentral:rRNA from 1 species
CGGGUGAGUAAUGUCUGGGAAACUGCCUGAUGGAGGGGGAUAACUGCUGGAAACGGUAGCUAAUACCGCAUAACGUCGCAAGACCAAAGAGGGGGACCUUCGGGCCUCUUGCCAUCGGAUGUGCCCAGAUGGGAUUAGCUAGUAGGUGGGGUAACGGCUCACCUAGGCGACGAUCCCUAGCUGGUCUGAGAGGAUGGCCAGCCGCACUGGAACUGAGACACGGUCCAG